AUUAUAUGUAUGGAGUAGAAAUUAGUAUGCACCUAAGAUGUUUGGUGAAAAGAAAACAUUUUGUGAGCAGUAUUUCUUUCGUUUGCUUUCAUUACUUCAAUAACCGAUAAUGUUGUCUGCUUUUUACACUCGAAACUAUAUUACUAAUGUCCAGAUUAUGUGAUAGAAAAUUUGUGCCUUAUUAUUACUUGCACAGAUUGAACACAAGGCAGUGCUCAUGCUAAAUUAUGUCCCGCUGUCUUUUUAGUAUACAUGGCCUUAAGAUCAAGCAUCGAUAAGAUACCAACCGACACUCCCUAAUGGAUAUGCAAGGUCCAAAUCAUCGACAUCAAUCGAGAGAGAAAAAGUCCAGAGAAGCAAAUCCGAUUUCAAAAUCUUAUUUUAGAGAAUGAACAGGUAUACAUCCAAACUUGGCAACCAAUUCACUAAUAGUAUACAGACACCAAUUGCAACAUGAAGCUUGAUAGGCUCUCUGGUUGGGACAGCAGCAUCUGAUACUUGAUUGACAUAUUUGAUCUUUUGAAGCAUGUAUAUAGCUUGUGUUGUUUCCUCUGAACAAAGAAGCAACUUUGAUCCUGAAGAUCUAUUAAUUUGGGGUACCUGUUGAACUUAAUUUUGCCAGAUUGCAGAUUAAUCUUUUUAGCAUAAACUUGACUCUUAACUUGAGAAGUCUCUAAGCUUUUUUCUUGAUCUGAUGGAUUGUUGUAUUAUUUACUAUAAUAGGACACUUCACAACCUUAUCAGAGUAAGGCCAAAAGAAAUAUAUCUCCAAAGAGGGCAACUAAUAGAGAAUCAUUUAAAUAUCCAGAUACCAAAUUAAGAAAAUGAUAAGGAAAUCCAAGAAAAUCCAACCUACUCCAAAAAUGGUUAUUUUGUUUACCUACACCGUAUGAAUGAUAUCAAUUUUACAGGGCCAACAAAUCAUGGCGGCUGUGUAUGGCGAUGACAUUGUUAUAUCUAUCUGCAAUGGCCAUUACGGUUUGCUUGCAGGAACUGUCCUCUUUUUUAGCUGACUUUUGACUGCUGGAAAAUUAUCAAUUUCUUGUUGGGCGGCUCUGAAUCACCUCACUUCUGCUCAAUAUGAAUGACCAGCUAUUUAAAAUUAGGGACCAGUAUAACAAAUUGAAUGUAGAUUUAGCAGCUUUUUGUGCCACUUCACUGCUCUUGGCUUAGUGGCAAGGAAAUGUACCACUUUCAGCUAGACUCUGGUAUACACGUAUUAGAACAACAUUUUCUUUAUUGAAAGCCUUAGGAACUUAACUUUUCUACACUAAAUCAAGUAGUUGCAACUUAUACUAGCUAUAAUUAUAAUAAGGCCACUAAUUACCAGCUAAAGUAAAAGUAUUUCCCAAAUUCCAAGUCACUGCUGCCUCUGCUAAUUAUUUGAAAAGAACAUUCACAUGCUUCCUUUUUUAUAGGCCGAACAUGUAAACUAUGGAUCGAUUUCAGAAAGAUAAUUUUGAUGGUAAUUCACUUCCUGGUAGGCGUAGAGAUGAUGUAGAAAUAAUGAUGGCUCCAACAAAAGUAUCCCCGAGGAAGAACUGCAACAAAAUGCAACCAUUGUGCUGCCUCGGGACAUCACAAAUGUGGCAAUAGAAUUAAGACAGUAAAUUUUGCUGGGAUCCAUCUUCUUUGAAGGUCAAUUUCGAAGCCCAUUUGUUGGAGCGACACCUACGAUAUCAAAAGGUUGGAAUUAGUGAAUUUCGUUUUGGUUUUGGAUCGGAUUAGAAGAGAAACGGCGCCAUUAGAUGGCUGUGUUCAGAUGCUUCUUUUAUAGGAAGACGCCGGAUCGACUUCUCGAGAUCUCUGAGCGGAUUUACAGUAUGUUGCUGCUUUUCUUGCCCUAAAGUUUCCAUUUUUGAGCUCAUUAACUCUGUUUGAUUUUUUUUCAGAAACUACAUCUUAGUUAGGAGUUACCUUGCUUUUACCAUGUUCAUUAAUUUGAAUACUUAUGUAUGUGUUAGUUAUAUUUGGAAUUAUAGUUGUUGCUUUCCAGUAUAAGUGAAGUGUUAGUACCCUAUAUUUUAGUGGCGCCAAUCGGUUGUAGCUUCUUUUACCUUAGAAGUUGAAGCUAAGAUUUUUUUUC